AUGGAUUGAGAGCUUGCUCUCAAGAAGUUAGCGGCGGACGGGUGAGUAACACGUGGGUAACCUGCCCAUAAGACUGGGAUAACUCCGGGAAACCGGGGCUAAUACCGGAUAANAUUUUGAACUGCAUGGUUCGAAAUUGAAAGGCGGCUUCGGCUGUCACUUAUGGAUGGACCCGCGUCGCAUUAGCUAGUUGGUGAGGUAACGGCUCACCAAGGCAACGAUGCGUAGCCGACCUGAGAGGGUGGAUCGGCCACACUGGGACUGAGACACGGGCCCAGACUCCUACGGGAGGCAGCAGUAGGGAAUCUUCCGCAAUGGACGAAAGUCUGACGGAGCAACGCCGCGUGAGUGAUGAAGGCUUUCGGGUCGUAAAACUCUGUUGUUAGGGAAGAACAAGUGCUAGUUGAAUAAGCUGGCACCUUGACGGUACCUAACCAGAAAGCCACGGCUAACUACGUGCCAGCAGCCGCGGUAAUACGUAGGUGGCAAGCGUUAUCCGGAAUUAUUGGGCGUAAAGCGCGCGCAGGUGGUUUCUUAAGUCUGAUGUGAAAGCCCACGGCUCAACCGUGGAGGGUCAUUGGAAACUGGGAGACUUGAGUGCAGAAGAGGAAAGUGGAAUUCCAUGUGUAGCGGUGAAAUGCGUAGAGAUAUGGGAGGAACACCAGUGGCGAAGGCGACUUUCUGGUCUGUAACUGACACUGAGGCGCGAAAGCGUGGGGAGCAAACAGGAUUAGAUACCCUGGUAGUCCACGCCGUAAACGAUGAGU
rnacentral:rRNA from 1 species